rnacentral:rRNA from 1 species
UACAGGGGUCUCGAGCGUUGUUCGGAUUUAUUGGGCGUAAAGGGUGCGUAGGCGGUGUGGCAAGUCAAGUGUGAAAUCUCGGAGCUCAACUUCGAAACUGCACUUGAUACUACUAUGCUAGAGGGUUGUAGAGGAGACCGGAAUUCACGGUGUAGCAGUGAAAUGCGUAGAUAUCGUGAGGAAGACCAGUUGCGAAAGCGGGUCUCUGGGCAAUUCCUGACGCUGAGGCACGAAGGCUAGGGGAGCAAACGGG